UGGGGAAUCUUGGACAAUGGGGGCAACCCUGAUCCAGCGACGCCGCGUGGGUGGUAAGGCCUUAGGGUUGUAAAGCUCUUUUACCCGGGAUGAUAAUGACAGUACCGGGAGAAUAAGCUCCGGCUAACUCCGUGCCAGCAGCCGCGGUAAUACGGAGGGAGCUAGCGUUGUUCGGAAUUACUGGGCGUAAAGCGCGCGUAGGCGGCAUGCCAAGUCAGGGGUGAAAUCCCGGGGCUCAACCCCGGAACUGCCCUUGAAACUGGCAAGCUAGAAUCCUGGAGAGGCGAGUGGAAUUCCGAGUGUAGAGGUGAAAUUCGUAGAUAUUCGGAAGAACACCAGUGGCGAAGGCGACUCGCUGGACAGGUAUUGACGCUGAGGUGCGAAAGCGUGGGGAGCAAACAGGAUUAGAUACCCGCGUAGUCC
rnacentral:rRNA from 1 species